GAUUUGACGUCAUCCCCACCUUCCUCACAUCUUACGAUGGCAGUCUUGUCAGAGUCCUCAGCAUCACCUGUUAGUAACUGACAACAAGGGUUGCGCUCGUUAUGGCACUUAAGCCGACACCUCACGGCACGAGCUGACGACAACCAUGCAGCACCUUCACACUCGCUAUUGCUAGCUGAACCGUUUCCGGAUCAUUCGAGUGCAAUUUAAGCCCGGGUAAGGUUCCUCGCGUAUCAUCGAAUUAAACCACAUGUUCCUCCGCUUGUGCGGGCCCCCGUCAAUUCCUUUGAGUUUCACCGUUGCCGGCGUACUCCCCAGGUGGAAUACUUAACGCUUUCGCUUGGCCGCUUGCCGUAUAUCGCAAACAGCGAGUAUUCAUCGUUUACCGUGUGGACUACCAGGGUAUCUAAUCCUGUUUGAUACCCACACUUUCGAGCCUCAAUGUCAGUUGCAGCUUAGCAGGCUGCCUUCGCAAUCGGAGUUCUUCGUGAUAUCUAAGCAUUUCACCGCUACACCACGAAUUCCGCCUGCCUCAACUGCACUCAAGACAUCCAGUAUCAACUGCAAUUUUACGGUUGAGCCGCAAACUUUCACAACUGACUUAAACAUCCAUCUACGCUCCCUUUAAACCCAAUAAAUCCGGAUAACGCUCGGAUCCUCCGUAUUACCGCGGCUGCUGGCACGGAGUUAGCCGAUCCUUAUUCAUAAAGUACAUGCAAACGGGUAUGCAUACCCGACUUUAUUCCUUUAUAAAAGAAGUUUACAACCCAUAGGGCAGUCAUCCUUCACGCUACUUGGCUGGUUCAGGCCAUCGCCCAUUGACCAAUAUUCCUCACUGCUGCCUCCCGUAGGAGUUUGGACCGUGUCUCAGUUCCAAUGUGGGGGACCUUCCUCUCAGAACCCCUAUCCAUCGUUGACUAGGUGGGCCGUUACCCCGCCUACUAUCUAAUGGAACGCAUCCCCAUCGUCUACCGGAAAAUACCUUUAAUCAUGCGGACAUGUGAACUCAUGAUCCCAUCCUGGAUUAA
rnacentral:rRNA from 1 species